rnacentral:lncRNA from 1 species
AAAUGUUGGUUUAUAUCCCUUUCAUAGUAAUUAACCCCCUGAUGUGCCUUAUCAUCCUUUUCACUAUUUUUACAGGGUUUAAUUACAAUAAUCAAUUCACAGUGACUCCUAAUCUGAAUAGCGUUAGAAAUAAAUAUGCUGGUUAUCAUCCCUAUUCUAAUAUAAAAGGUUAACCCCUGCUCCACAGGAACAGCCACCAAAUAUUUCCUCACACAAGCAACCACACCCAUAAUUCUAAUAAUAGCCAUUAUUAUCAAUAUAAUGUAUUCCAGACAAUAAAAAAUCACAAAUAUACUGAACCAAACAGCAUUCCUAGUAAUUAUUGUGGCUCUAGUUAUAAAACUGGGACUGUCCUCCUUUUACUUUUGAGUUUCAGAAGUAACACAAGGAGGUAUAAUUCUUCUUACAUGACAAAAAGUGGCCCCAAUUUCCAUCAUGUUCCAAAUCUCAAUGGACCUAAAUAUACCAUUAACAAUUGCAGUACUAUCCAUUUUAGUAAGGGUUUGAAGGGGGCUUCAUCAAACACAAUUCCAAAAUAUUUAGCCUAUUCAUCAAUUGCACCAAACAGUGGCUGUCUCACUGAAGUCUCAAUGAGGUCCUAGCAUGGGGC